CUAUGUGCCAAUUUAGAGAUCUGAAAACCCUUUGUUUCUUAUAAUCAUUUGGUGUGUAUGAAAGGAAUAUUGAAAUAUUUUAUAAAGUAUACUCCAUGAGGUGGCCUGUGCUUUGUAUUCAAACUGACCUUUUGUGAUUCUUUCUGCAGCAUUGGUUUCUUAGUUGAUAAUGCUAUAUAUAUACCCAAGGAAAUAUCUUUUUUAAAAAGCUUUUGGGUCAUUUUCAAUCGUGAUUUUCAUGAUGAAAAGCAUUUAACUUUGUUUC
rnacentral:lncRNA from 1 species